rnacentral:lncRNA from 1 species
CAGGUGCCUCAGUUGAGCUCAGGGCUUUGCCAGGGCUCUACUAUUCUGUACCUUCCUCCAAUCCUGUCUACUCAGUUGAUGUUUGCGUUUCCUGGAUCAGUCGGAGGUCUGGAUCAUUCCCUUGCUGCAUCUGUUGAGUGUCAGGCUGCUGGUGGUCUUGCUGUGUUUUCUCCACUCAGGUACUCACCAGUUUCAGAUGCACCCUGGUCCUCUCCCUGUUCAUGUUUGUUUUACUCCAGAUGAAGUUGUGCAAAUAUGGAGACAAGAGCUGGGUAUGAAGCUGCUCAAACUGCCAGAAGCUUGAAAAGAAUCAUAGCCCUUCAGCAGGGACGUAGCAGCCGGAUCAUUUUCUUUUCAGCAACCUACUCUGAUAUAUCUGUCAUUGCAGACCUGAGUCUUUGCAUUUGGUAUACUCUCAUGAAUUAGCAGCCAUGGACAUAUA